rnacentral:rRNA from 1 species
GAUGAACGCUGGCGGCGUGCCUAAUACAUGCAAGUCGAGCGAACAGACGAGGAGCUUGCUCCUCUGACGUUAGCGGCGGACGGGUGAGUAACACGUGGAUAACCUACCUAUAAGACUGGGAUAACUUCGGGAAACCAGAGCUAAUACCGGAUAAUAUAUUGAACCGCAUGGUUCAAUAGUGAAAGACGGUUUUGCUGUCACUUAUAGAUGGAUCCGCGCCGCAUUAGCUAGUUGGUAAGGUAACGGCUUACCAAGGCAACGAUGCGUAGCCGACCUGAGAGGGUGAUCGGCCACACUGGAACUGAGACACGGUCCAGACUCCUACGGGAGGCAGCAGUAGGGAAUCUUCCGCAAUGGGCGAAAGCCUGACGGAGCAACGCCGCGUGAGUGAUGAAGGUCUUCGGAUCGUAAAACUCUGUUAUUAGGGGAGAACAAAUGUGUAAGUAACUAUGCACGUCUUGACGGUACCUAAUCAGAAAGCCACGGUUAACUACGUG